rnacentral:rRNA from 1 species
UGCCCUAGUAACGGCGAGUGAAGCGGCAACAGCUCAAAUUUGAAAUCUGGCGCAAGCCCGAGUUGUAAUUUGUAGAGGAUGUUUCUGGCGACGUGCCUUCCGAGUUCCCUGGAACGGGACGCCAUAGAGGGUGAGAGCCCCGUACGGUUGGAUGCCUAGCCUCUGUGAAACUCCUUCGACGAGUCGAGUAGUUUGGGAAUGCUGCUCUAAAUGGGAGGUAUACGUCUUCUAAAGCUAAAUACCGGCCAGAGACCGAUAGCGCACAAGUAGAGUGAUCGAAAGAUGAAAAGCACUUUGAAAAGAGGGUUAAAAAGUACGUGAAAUUGUUGAAAGGGAAGCGUUCAUGACCAGACUUGGGCAGGUUGAUCAUCCGUGGUUCUCCGCGGUGCACUCUGCCUGCCCAGGCCAGCAUCAGUUCGCCCCGGGGGAUAAAGGCUUUGGGAAUGUGGCUCCCUCGGGAGUGUUAUAGCCCACUGUGUAAUACCCUGGGGUGGACUGAGGUUCGCGCUCUGCAAGGAUGCUGGCGUAAUGGUCAUCAACGACCCGUCUUGAAACACGGACCAAGGAGUCGUCUUCGUAUGCGAGUGUUCGGGUGUCAAACCCCUACGCGUAAUGAAAGUGAACGUAUGAGAGAGCUUCAGCGCAUCUCCGACCGAUCCUGAUGUUCUCGGAUGGA